AUGACACUCCCCCACUUCGCGGUGGCUCUGAUUCUCGGGGCGCUCCCCGGAGUGGUCAGCCUUGAUUCGGUCCUCGGUUAUCCCCUCCACCACCGCCAUCACCAUGCGCCCUCUCGGGGUCCCCGGGACCCUUAUUACCUUACCACCCAGCGGCGGCCACAGAAGACGCCGCCGCCCCCGCUCCCGCGCACCCCGCACCCCCCGCCGGCGCUCCGCGCCUCGCGCGCGCACGGCCUCCGCGCGCCCCGGCCGCCUCCCGGGGGCUGCCCCGCCGGCGCGCCCGGGGCCAACGCGACGGACUCCGGCGCCCCUUGUCUGCGCUGGGCAGACGUGCCGCCGUUCCUCGCGCGGCCGCCGCCGGCGGGCUGGGCGCAGCUGCGAGGGCAGCGCCACAACUUCUGCCGGAGUCCGGACGGCGCGGGCAGACCCUGGUGCUUCUACGGGGACGCCGGCGGCAAGGCGGACUGGGGCUACUGCGACUGCAGACGCGGGUCAGUCCGGCUUCGUGGUGGCAAAAGCGCCUUUGAAGGCACAGUAGAAGUAUAUGAGAACGGAGUCUGGGGCGUCAUUUGUAGCAGCCACUGGAACGACGCUGAUGCCUCAGUCGUUUGUCACCAGCUGCGGCUGGGAGGAAAAGGAGUCGCAAAACAAACCCCAUUUUCUGAACUGGGCCUUAUUCCCAUUUAUUGGAGCAAUGUCCGUUGCCGAGGAGAUGAAGAAAAUAUACUGUUUUGUGAAAGAGACAUCUGGCAGGGUGGGGCGUGUUCUGAGAAGAUGGCAGCUGCUGUCCUGUGUAGCUUUUCCCAUGGCCCUGCAUUCCCCAUCCUGCGCCUUGUUGGGGGGAGCAGUGUGCGUGAGGGCCGAGUGGAGGUCUACCAUGCCGGUCAGUGGGGGACAGUCUGUGACGACCAGUGGGAUGAUGCGGAUGCGGAAGUGGUCUGCAGGCAGCUGGGUCUGAGUGGCAUUGCCAAAGCAUGGAAUCAGGCGUAUUUUGGGGAAGGGUCUGGCCCGGUAAUGUUGGAUGAGGUACGCUGCACCGGGAAUGAGCUUUCUAUUGAGCAGUGUCCGAAGAGUUCCUGGGGAGAGCAUAACUGUGACCAUAAAGAAGAUGCUGGAGUGUCCUGUACCCCUCUAACAGAUGGCGUCAUCAGACUUGCAGGUGGUGAAGGCGCCCACGAGGGUCGCCUGGAGGUGUAUCACAGGGGACAGUGGGGAACUGUCUGUGAUGACGGCUGGACUGAUCUUAACACCUAUGUGGUUUGCCGGCAGCUGGGAUUUAAAUAUGGCAAACAAGCCUCUGCAAACCACUUUGAAGAGAGCAUGGGACCCAUAUGGCUGGAAGGCAUCAGUUGCUCAGGAAAGGAAGCCAGUUUCCUUCAGUGUUCGCGGGGACCCUGGGGAAGGCAUGACUGCAGCCAUCGGGAAGAUGUUGGCAUCUCCUGCUACCCCGGUGGAAACGGAUUCAGAGUCUCCCUGGGUUUUCCAAUCAGACUGAUGGAUGGAGAAAAUGAGAAGGAAGGACGAGUGGAGGUUUUUCUCAACGGCCAGUGGGGAACAGUUUGUGAUGAUGGGUGGACUGAUGAGGAUGCCACUGUGAUCUGUCGACAGCUUGGCUACAAGGGUCCAGCCAGAGCAAGGAGCAUGGCGUAUUUUGGGGAAGGGGAGGGACCCAUCCAUAUGGAUAACGUGAAGUGCACAGGAAAUGAACGGUCCCUGGCCGACUGUGUCAGACAAGACAUCGGAGACCAUGACUGCCGCCACAGUGAAGACGCAGGAGUUAUUUGUGAUUAUCUUGGGAAAAAAGCAUCAGGAAACAGUAAUAAAGAGUCCCUCUCAUCUGUUUGUGGUUUGAGAUUAUUGCCCCGUCGGCAGAAGCGGAUCAUUGGUGGGAAGAAUUCUUUAAGGGGUGGUUGGCCUUGGCAAGUAUCCCUCCGGCUGAAGUCAUCCCAUGGAAAUGGUAGGCUCCUUUGUGGGGCCACGCUCCUGAGUAGCUGCUGGGUCCUUACAGCAGCACACUGCUUCAAGAGGUACGGUAACAGUACUAGGAACUACGUGGUUCGGGUUGGGGAUUAUCAUACGCUGGUGCCGGAGGAGUUCGAAGAAGAGAUCAGAGUUGAGGAGAUCGUAACCCACCGGCUGUACCGCCCGCACAGCAAUGACUAUGACAUCGCCCUGGUUAGGUUACAAGGACCAGAGGAGCAGUGUGCCAGACUCAGCAGCCAUAUUCUGCCGGCCUGCUUGCCACGCUGGAAAGAGAGGCCACAGAAGAGAGCCCACAACUGCUAUGUAACAGGAUGGGGAGACACAGGACCAGCCUACUCAAGAACUCUACAACAAGCAGCCAUCCCCUUACUUCCCAAGAGGUUUUGUGAACAUCGUUAUAAGGGUCUGUUUACACGAAGGAUGCUCUGUGCUGGAAACCUCCAUGAACACAAACGUGUGGACAGUUGCCAAGGAGACAGCGGAGGACCACUCGUGUGUGAACGACCGGGAGAGCGCUGGGUUGUGUAUGGGGUGACCUCCUGGGGAUACGGCUGUGGAGCCAAGGAUUCCCCUGGUGUUUAUACCAAAGUCUCAGCCUUUGUACCUUGGAUAAAAAGGGUCACCAAACUGUAAUCCUUCAUGGAAAUGUCAAGAAGAUAGUAUUUAAAGAAUAUGUUGGAAAAUUUCCAACAUUGGCAUUUAGCCAGAGAUGCCAACUAAUGGGAGGGGAGAUCUUUUUGUGUUCUGUGUUGAUGAAAGUGAUGUACCUCUUUGCUGCUGGAGAAUGAUGUGAUCAUUCUGGUUACAGAUACCUCAGUGUAGUAAUGACUAUUCUUAUUUAGCACUGUUGCCUACCCAAAUUAGUUUUACAGGAGACUACAUUCAUUAUUCUGUCUUGUCUCAAUUUCUCAGCAUUCUCCAGAGAUUAUUGUAUAUUGACUGUGCAAUAAGGCUGUUUUUACUUGUAUUUGGAUUGAGAACUCCUUUGUAACUCAAUCAGUAUGGUCUAUAUUCAUAUUAAGAGCCUACCUUUGACAUAAAAAAAUACCCUUUACUAUACUU
rnacentral:lncRNA from 1 species